CCUACGGGUGGCAGCAGUAGGGAAUCUUCCACAAUGGGCGAAAGCCUGAUGGAGCAACGCCGCGUGGGUGAAGAAGGUCUUCGGAUCGUAAAACCCUGUUGUUAGAGAAGAAAGUGCGUGAGAGUAACUGUUCACGUUUCGACGGUAUCUAACCAGAAAGCCACGGCUAACUACGUGCCAGCAGCCGCGGUAAUACGUAGGUGGCAAGCGUUAUCCGGAUUUAUUGGGCGUAAAAGGAACGCAGGCGGGCGUUUAAGUCUGAUGUGAAAGCCUUCGGCUUAACCGGAGUAGUGCAUUGGAAACUGGGAGACGUGAGUGCAGAAGAGGAGAGUGGAAUUCCAUGUGUAGCGGUGAAAUGCGUAGAUAUAUGGAAGAACACCAGUGGCGAAAGCAGCUCUCUGGUCUGUAACUGACGCUGAGGUUCGAAAGCGUGGGUAGCAAACAGGAUUAGAUACCCGGGUAGUC
rnacentral:rRNA from 1 species